rnacentral:sRNA from 1 species
GGCCGGUGCAGGUAGGGUCUCAUACAGU